GUGAAUUCAGAGGGAGUCGCCACUUUGGCUGAUGAGAUGUGACCUGUUUUAAUCACUGCCGUCCACUGUCAGGUGAAAGUUCUGAAGCACAGCUGUGAGAUGAAUAGCAAUGACCACGGUUUGGACACAGCUCUGCAAAAUCAGGUUGCCGAAGAAGAGACAAGCUGAGGAUGUCCUGAUGACUUAGCAGCAAGUUUACAUCCUUCUGGUUUUCUCCACUGAGAUGAUUCCUGGGACUUACACAUAAAAAAAAGUGCUGAAGGAGUCGACAGCUUGGAGCAUGGCUGUACAGGUCCUCUGUUAAGAAGGAGAAACUGCUGGCCACAAUAAAAGGAACAUGAAUAGUUUUGAAGGCAGCUGCCCCACAAGUAGAACGGUGAAGCCUCAUCAGCUUAUCAAUCAUGAGGAAGAGCUCAGGGGAGGAGAAUGUCUCAAAAUGGGGUAAUUUCCUUGGAGUUUUAAAACCAGAAUACUUUGUUUAAAACAAUGGGGUUUUAAAAAUGAUGGGCACAGUUGCCCAUCCAUGUGUCUAGCAGAUAAACACACAGCCAGACACAAAUAUAUGACAUACAUAUAUGUAUCUGUGUGACACUCACCACCCCUUUGAAGUACCAAAAUUAAAGAUGCUGGCUCACCUCCCGUGCUCCCAAACUGGCCAUUGAUUUUUGUCCAUUGCUGUAGAGGUAGGACUGAAAGUAGAUGUGCCAUCAGCAU